GUGCUGGUUAAUGGCCAGCGGGGGUAACCCUAGGGAUAGCGCCACAGAGAACAGACCGCCUUCUAUAUGGAGGUAAGGGUGAAACGGUGAGGUAAGAGCUCACCGCGGAUGUGGCAACACAGACGGCACGGCAAGCCCCACCGGGAGCAAUGCCAAAUAGGGGCUUCGUGUGGGCAACCACAGGGACGCUUGAACCCGAGAAGCCCGGGUUGGCAGCUAGAGGCCAGUUGGUAACAGCUGGUCCAGAUGAAUGAUCAUCUCGGGGCGGCAACGCCCUAGACAGAAUCCGGCUUACAGAUCACCCGCGCAU
rnacentral:RNase_P_RNA from 1 species